rnacentral:rRNA from 1 species
CCUACGGGGGGCAGCAGUCGAGAAUCAUUCACAAUGGGGGAAACCCUGAUGGUGCGACGCCGCGUGGGGGAAUGAAGGUCUUCGGAUUGUAAACCCCUGUCAUGUGGGCGCAAAUUAAAAAGAUAGUACCACAAGAGGAAGAGACGGCUAACUCUGUGCCAGCAGCCGCGGUAAUACAGAGGGCUCAAGCGUUGUUCGGAAUCACUGGGCGUAAAGGGUGCGUAGGCUGUGUCGUAAGUCGUGUGUGAAAGCGGCGGGCUCAACCCGCGGACGGCACAUGAUACUGCGAGACUAGAGUAAUGGAGGGGGAAACGGAAUUCUCGGUGUAGCGGUGAAAUGCGUAGAUAUCGGGAGGAACACUCGUGGCGAAGGCGGGUUCCUGGACAUUAACUGACGCUGAGGCACGAAGGCCAGGGGAGCGAAAGGGAUUAGAUACCCGUGUAGUC